AGUAGCACACAGGUGCUCACUUUGGGCUAAAACUGCAACGACGCACAGAAGCUUCGCCUGGCCUUUGUGCCAGGAUGACACACCGAUUUGUGAAGCAUCCCGUAUUUUU
ensembl:snRNA U6 U6 spliceosomal RNA